UGGGCAAGGUUGGAUUCAAUUUCCCAGUGACGCUGUCACUAAUCCACUAUGGGACUGCUUGGUUUCUGAUGGCCAUCUUCAAUGCUCUUUCACUAUUACCUGCCUCCCCUCCCUCUAAAUCCACACCUUACUCUUCUCUGUUCAUCUUGGGUGCUGUCAUAUUUCUUUCCACUGGUCUGUCUAACAUCAGCUGAAAACGUAAGAGUGUGGGGUUCUAUCAGAUGGCUAAGAUAGCUGGGACUCCAACCAUCGUUUUAGCUGAGUUCAUGCUUUUCAGAAAGAAAAAAAAAAGUUUCUUUUCCGGAAGAUACAGCGGUCUUUAGAUCGAGAGUAUAAGGUGGACACGACACACCCAAGCAAAGCCCACGUAAACAAAUGACUCCAAAUGGAGGAAACAACUUUGUGCAAUUUGCUCUUGAUCAUUUGCUCAAUGAUCGUGAUAUGUUUGCAACCUCCCCCCUCAAAGGAAUAGUUUAUAGCUUCACAACAAAACUCAUACAUUGGACUUCCUACAAAUGUUGAUAAUUUUAAAAGAUAUGAUUUCAAAUCUUAAAAU